CCUACGGGGCGCACCAGUGGGGAAUAUUGCACAAUGGGGGAAACCCUGAUGCAGCCAUGCCGCGUGUGUGAAGAAGGCCUUCGGGUUGUAAAGCACUUUCAGCGAGGAGGAAAGGUUGAUGCCUAAUACGUAUCAACUGUGACGUUACUCGCAGAAGAAGCACCGGCUAACUCCGUGCCAGCAGCCGCGGUAAUACGGAGGGUGCAAGCGUUAAUCGGAAUUACUGGGCGUAAAGCGCACGCAGUGGGUUCGAUAAGUUAGAUGUGAAAGCCCCGGGCUCAACCUGGGAAUUGCAUUUAAAACUGUCCAGCUAGAGUCUUGUAGAGGGGGGUAGAAUUCCAGGUGUAGCGGUGAAAUGCGUAGAGAUCUGGAGGAAUACCGGUGGCGAAGGCGGCCCCCUGGACAAAGACUGACGCUCAGGUGCGAAAGCGUGGGGAGCAAACAGGAUUAGAUACCCCCGUAGUC
rnacentral:rRNA from 1 species